GGGUAACCGGUUAUCCAGUUUUUUUUUUAUAAUUUUUUGUUUUAUUUUUAUAAUUUUUUUUUUAAAUAAUGAAUGUAUGCAUGUGCAGUAGGGUCAUGGAUCAGAUGAAAAUUGUAUCGGGGUAUGGUGAAUUUUGGGGUAUGACAGAUGCCCAUAUUUAAUCUUCUCGAACCUGAAUGUUUAGAUAGCAACGGCUUCCACACAUCCAGGGUAAGAGAGGAUUAACUACAUAAAAAUAUCCAAAAAUUCACCCUACUGGGAAUGAAAUGAAUGUGAUAUGAAGUGAUGGGUAUUUGUGAAGGUUGUUCAUGGGCUGGAAAAUAAACUUGAUACGAAAUCAUCUGUUGAGGAUAGUUUAU
rnacentral:lncRNA from 1 species